rnacentral:lncRNA from 1 species
UGCAAGCAAAUUAGAUAAUUUACUAAAUGAAGUGAGUGUAGAGAGAAAAGGAGACAGCAGCAAAUACAAAUACAACCAAGUUUAUAGUGGUUCGGAGCCAACUCUUGCUUCUACGUCCACUCCCCAAGCCGCACUUGGGUUUUCACUAUAAUCCCUAGGAUUAUAGCUGGUUGUUUUACAAGCUCACAACCUAACUUGUUGUUUUUCCGAGAUUACAACGAACUCGGUCGGUUUUCACAGGCUCACCGACUAGAACCGCCCAAUUAUUUUUCCGGGUUCACAAUCAAACCCAGUUGGUUUUUUUCGGUUCACCAACCAAAACCUUACAACGUUGGUUUUAUAUUUGGCUCACCAACAAACCUUACAACCAUUGAUUCAAUCUCCUGAUUGAAUCAAGUAAGAAAAAUAGAGUUUGGGAUUUCACAGAGAAAGCUUCUAAACAAGC